AUGUUUUUGGUGAACAAGCAUAUGGAUAAGCAGAAUGAGGUCCUUAUGGAAACAUACAGAUCAAUGUUGCAUGAAUUGCAAAAACUUCAGGUGGAAGAAGAGAUGAUUAUGCGCAAGCUUUACGAAGUAAUGUCCGUCCACGGUCUCACUAAACAGAAUGAAGACAACUCCAACGCUUCCAAUAAUAGUGCUGGAGCUGAACAAAUCAAUAAUGAAGUCAAUACAACACAUGAGGAUCAGUAA